rnacentral:rRNA from 1 species
UACAUAGGGGCCAAGCGUUGCCCGGAUUUAUUGGGCGUAAAGAGCUCGUAGGCGGCCUGUCGCGUCGGUUGUGAAAGCCCGGGGCUUAACCCCGGGUCUGCAGUCGAUACGGGCAGGCUAGAGUUCGGUAGGGGAGAUCGGAAUUCCUGGUGUAGCGGUGAAAUGCGCAGAUAUCAGGAGGAACACCGGUGGCGAAGGCGGAUCUCUGGGCCGAUACUGACGCUGAGGAGCGAAAGCGUGGGGAGCGAACAGG